UCUGGUGACAAUGGCAAGGAGGGCACACCUGUUCCCAUGCCGAACACAGAAGUUAAGCUCCUUAGCGCCGAUGGUAGUCGGGCUUACGUCCCGCUAGAGUAGGACGUUGCCAGGC
rnacentral:rRNA from 1 species